AGUAAGAGCCACUGGCGGCCACUCUUCUUUAAAGCAGCCAGAAGAGAGUGGGUUGAGGAAAAAUGAAGUCCUGAGCUGGUCAGCCCAGGCGAAAGAGCCACCUGAAUCCAACCCCACAGUGAAUAGGGAAGGGGCUGAGAAAACAAAAGGAGGGAUGAGGAUUAGACCUCAUAAGGCCACGUCCUGAGAGCCAAGUGAUGCUCAGAACUCGGCCUCUCUGAGUUCCAAAUGGCAAGAGUGAAAUAUGGAACCGGGAAAGCCACCCCCCACCCCCACCAAGAUCACACUAGGACUUGAGGGUCUCAGAGCUGUUGGGAGCGGCCUCAGCCUGCACACCCCAGGAGCGUGGAUGAGGACGGCCACCCCGGGCGCGCACCCCUUUCCCACCACCCCAGCAUCUCUGCAGCCCAGGACACCCGCCUCCCCCACACCCCGCAUCCGGUGUGUCUCCGCCUGGCGCUGCCGGCGCGGCAGGCGGGCCAGAGGACCAACUGCACGGCCUCACCUGCUCUUCUCCACCAUCCAGACGUUCAGCUACAGCUGGUGGGGGUGAGGGACCCUGCUCCGUGGCCGCCAAUGUGGGCUUCCUGGGCCAGCUCUGCGGCGAGGCGGGGGAGCCGAGGACGAGCCGGCAGAGGUGGGGCCGGCUCAGGGCGGAAGCGGCGGCGACGCGAUUACGAAACCCGUCCGGCUCGGAGCCGAGCGCACAGCUCCCCUCUGGACUGCGGAGGCACUGCACUGUGCGGGACGUGGGAGGGUGCCUCUGCAGCCUCUCAAGGCCGCCGCCCCUGCGGGGAGAACCGGAGAAUGCGGACACCUAGAUGAGGGCCUGGCACCCCAGCUGGGGCCCCCGGAAUCUCACGUUCCCUUUGCUCGCCAGGCAUUUCGGGGCAAAACGAAGCGGAGCCCCCCAAACCCCCAGACCUAACCAAGUUCAGAGAUUCGCAGAAGCACGCCCCCCCACCCCAAAUUUCUUGUGCUCUACCCAAAAUGGAAUAGGACUAGGUUUAUUUAUCCAUUGUGAGGGUAGAGAGGCGAGUCGGGAGGAGCAGGGAUUGGGAGAAGGGGUGGAAAAAUAUUCUGAUUCUUAAAAAUAACCUUGUAACCUCAAGUCCUUAAAUUGUGGAAGAAAGGAACACUCCUCCUUUCCAUUGUAGUCUAGAGUUAAGAUUUCAAAUCCAUAAAUUAGAGGACCUAAAAUUAGAGGGCAAUUAACUGCUCAUUCAUUGAGCCCCCAGUCAGCACGGGGGUGCUGGAAGAGAUCGGGAAUAAUAGCGCAGACCAAUGAGCCUAGGGAGAUGCUUUCAUCAUCUCUCCUUCCCUCAAGUGUUCUGGAACCUAUCAUUUGAAUUAGCCGAGUCAGGCAGGAGGGGGCGGGGAAUCCUUCCGCCCUUCUUAGGAGGGGCUGCAUUGCAGGGGGAGAGUGAACUGACAGACUCAGUCACUGAAGAGGGAAAAGGAGUGAGAAGACAAAGCCGUCAAAGCCCCAACAGCUUUGUAUUUCUCCAGCCCGGCGCAGACCCCGGAGCCCCCGAGGUACUCCCUCCAUCUUUGGAACACGCCAGUAAUUGAUUAAUAACAGGAAGCUAUGAGGGACCCUGUGAGUAGCCAGUACAGUUCCUUUCUUUUCUGGAGGAUGCCCAUCCCAGAACUGGAUCUGUCGGAGCUGGAAGGCCUGGGUCUGUCAGAUACAGCCACCUACAAGAUCAAAGGCAGCAGCGUUGGCAAAAUGAUCGGGCAAGCAACUGCAGCAGACCAGGAGAAAAACCCUGAAGGUGAUGGCCUCCUUGAGUACAGCACCUUCAACUUCUGGAGAGCUCCCAUUGCCAGCAUCCACUCCUUCGAACUGGACUUGCUCUAAGGCCAAGACUUCUCUCUCCCAUCACCUUGCCCUCACUGUCUUCCCUCUCAAGCCCCUUCCUUUCCACUCCUUUCCCAUUUUAAUCUUGUUCUCUCUCUACUGUGUUGGUGGUGCUGAUGAAUCUGCCAGAGUUGAGUUCUAUGUAUUUAUUUAUUUAUCUAUCUGUCUACUCCAUUUCUCUCAAAAGCCCUCAAGUCACAAAGUAAAUGGUUCAAGCAAUGGAGUACUGGGUCACAGGGAUUCCUCCUUUCCCCCCCAAAUAUUAACUCCAGAAACUAGGCCUGACUGGGGACACCUGAGAGUAGUAUAGUAGUGCAAAAUGGAAGACUGAUUUUUGACUCUAUUUUAAUCAGCUUCAGAGAUUCCUUAAACCUUCCUAAUUUCCUGCUCCAGGGCAGUAAACACAAGUAUUUCUUCAAGGGGUGAUGAAAACCUCGGAAGUUUUAAUGUGAGGUUAUCUGCUAUGAAACAGUAUUUCUAAAAGGCUAAAGUGAUAAGUCUCUUGCUUUUUUUUGAUCCUGCUCUUUCUUAUAUUCUUUUUUUUCCUUAGAGAAAUCAAGAGGGUAGUUAGAGGUAUAAAACAGGAGGAAAUAUUAUGGAAAAUGAAAAUAGGGAAAAUAAUUGAAUAAUUUUAGAAGUAGCUAAUUUCUGUUCUCAAAAGAAUGUCCCUUCUUCAAACCUACUCACUUUACAACUUUGCUCCUAACUGUAGGUUGAAAACUCUAGCUAAAGAAAGUUAUCAAAUCUUAACAUGCAUUCCUACUAUUAUGAUAGUUCUUAAGGUUUCAAUUCAAUCUUCUGAAAGGCGUAAGUCCUAUUUUAGCCUUACCUCCUGCAUUUGCAAUAUCUAAUUCUGGUCAGUGGGCACAGUUCUUCAGCUACAUUGAGACCCUGAAAUGAACAAUUACAUUCUGACUCUACAUCUUGUCCCCAAUCCUUCCUACAAUAUUGAUGCUGAUUUGUGCUGCCAUUUACUCGUUUAUUUAAUAAAGACAUUCAAUCCCA